rnacentral:rRNA from 1 species
AACGAACGCUGGCGGCAGGCCUAACACAUGCAAGUCGAGCGCGCCCUUCGGGGUGAGCGGCGGACGGGUGAGUAACGCGUGGGAACGUGCCCUUCUCUGCGGAAUAGCCUCGGGAAACUGAGAGUAAUACCGCAUACGCCCUUUGGGGGAAAGAUUUAUCGGAGAAGGAUCGGCCCGCGUUGGAUUAGGUAGUUGGUGGGGUAAUGGCCCACCAAGCCGACGAUCCAUAGCUGGUUUGAGAGGAUGAUCAGCCACACUGGGACUGAGACACGGCCCAGACUCCUGCGGAAGGAAGCAGUGGGGAUUCUUAAAAAAUGGGGGCAACCCGGAUCUAGCCAGGCCGGGUGGGUAAUAAAGGCCUUAGGUUUGUAAAGCUCUUUCCGCGGGGAAGAUAAGGACGGUCCCAACAAAAAAAGCCCCGGCAAACCCCGU